rnacentral:rRNA from 1 species
CAUAUUUGACAAUGGGCGAAAGCCUGAUCCAGCCAUGCCGCGAGUGUGAAGAAGGUCUUCGGAUUGUAUCGCACUUUAAGCUGGGCGAUAGGGUUGUGGAUUAAUACUCUGCAUUUUUGACGUUACCAUCAGAAUAAGCACCUGCUAACUUCGUGCCAGCAGCCGCGGUAAUACGAAAGGUGCAAGUGUUAAUCGGAAUUACUGGGCGUAAAGCGCGCGUAGGUGGUGCAGUAAGAUGGGUGUGACAUCCCCGGGCUUAACCUGGGAACUGCUUUCAUAACUGCUGAGCUAGAGUACGGUAGAGGGUAGUGGAAUUUCCUGUGUAGCGGUGAAAUGCGUAGAUAUAGGAAGGAACAUCAGUGGCGAAGGCGACUACCUGGACUGAUACUGACACUGAGGUGCGAAAGCGUGGGGAGCAAACAGG